ensembl:rRNA predicted gene, 23114
UUCUAUGGCCAUACCACUCAGAACAUACCCAGUCUCAUUUGAUCUCCAAAGCUAAGCAAGGUCAGGCCUGGUUAAUACUUAGAUGAUGACAGAAUUAGGUAUUAUUCCUGAUGGAAA